rnacentral:rRNA from 1 species
AGUGAACGCUGGCGGUAGGCCUAACACAUGCAAGUCGAACGGCAGCACAGUAAGAGCUUGCUCUUACGGGUGGCGAGUGGCGGACGGGUGAGGAAUACAUCGGAAUCUACUUUUUCGUGGGGGAUAACGUAGGGAAACUUACGCUAAUACCGCAUACGACCUACGGGUGAAAGCAGGGGAUCUUCGGACCUUGCGCGAUUGAAUGAGCCGAUGUCGGAUUAGCUAGUUGGCGGGGUAAAGGCCCACCAAGGCGACGAUCCGUAGCUGGUCUGAGAGGAUGAUAGGCACAAUGGAAAUGGAGAACGGUCCAAACUCCUUAGGGAGGGAGCAGUGGGGAAAUAUGGGCAAAUGGGGGAAGCCUGGUCCAACCAAUCCGGGUUGGGUGAAGAAGCCUUUGGGUUGCUAAAGCCUUUUGGUGGGGAAAAAAAAGAAGCAGGUUAAUCCCCCGUGGUUUUGAGGGACCCAAAAGAAAAACAACGGCUAACUUCGGU